rnacentral:rRNA from 1 species
AUUGAACGCUCGCGGGAUGCUUUACACAUGCAAGUCGAACGGCAGCGCGGACUUCGGUCUGGCGGCGAGUGGCGAACGGGUGAGUAAUGUAUCGGAACGUGCCCAGUAGCGGGGGAUAACUACGCGAAAGCGUAGCUAAUACCGCAUACGCCCUACGGGGGAAAGCCGUGGAUCGUAAGACCUUGCACUAUUGGAGCGGCCGAUAUCGGAUUAGCUAGUUGGUGAGGUAACGGCUCACCAAGGCGACGAUCCGUAGCUGGUUUGAGAGGACGACCAGCCACACUGGGACUGAGACACGGCCCAGACUCCUACGGGAGGCAGCAGUGGGGAAUUUUGGACAAUGGGGGCAACCCUGAUCCAGCCAUCCCGCGUGUGCGAUGAAGGCCUUCGGGUUGUAAAGCACUUUUGGCAGGAAAGAAACGUCGCGGGCUAAUACCCCGUGGAACUGACGGUACCUGCAGAAUAAGCACCGGCUAACUACGUG